rnacentral:rRNA from 1 species
UGGGGAAUUUUGCACAAUGGGCGAAAGCCUGAUGCAGCAACGCCGCGUGUGUGAUGAAGGUCUUCGGAUUGUAAAGCACUUUCGACCGGGACGAAAACCCGUUGGCUAACAUCCAGCGGCUUGACGGUACCGGGAGAAGAAGCACCGGCUAACUCUGUGCCAGCAGCCGCGGUAAUACAGAGGGUGCAAGCGUUGUUCGGAAUUAUUGGGCGUAAAGCGCGUGUAGGCGGCAUGAUAAGUCGGGUGUGAAAGCCCUCGGCUCAACCGAGGAAGUGCGCCCGAAACUGUUUUGCUUGAGUCCCGGAGAGGGUGGCGGAAUUCCCCAAGUAGAGGUGAAAUUCGUAGAUAUGGGGAGGAACACCGGUGGCGAAGGCGGCCACCUGGCCGGAUACUGACGCUGAGACGCGAAAGCGUGGGUAGCAAACAGGAUUAGAUACCCGGGUAGUCC